UCCUUCCUUUCUUUUGUCUUUUGCUCACUUCUUUUUCUUUUUUCUUUUUUUUUUCCUUUCUUUUCCACCAACUCUCUGCAAUUUUUUGUCCCCUGUCAAAACCUAGCUUUUCUUUUUCUUUUUUUUUUUCCUUCCUUUCUUGCGUCUUUUGCUCACUUCCUUUUCUUUUUUAUUUCUUUUUCCUUUCUUUUCCACCAUCUCUCUGCAAUUUUGUUUCCCCUAUUAGAACCCAAAUUUUUUUUUCCUUCCUUUCUUUUGUCUUUUCCUCUCUUCUUCUCUUCUCCUUCAUCAAGACAUUUUACGUCUUUUUUUUUUCUUCCUUUCUUUUGUCUUAUCCUCUUUUCCUUUUUAUGUUUUUUUUUUUCCCUUUUUGUUCCAAGCCAGCCUUAAUUAAAGGAUGGAAGUUCUUAUUUGUAUGCAGAAAGCUACAAAGGCAGUGCUGAUACGGGAAAAACUCAAUCAACAUGUUAUCAAUUUGGAAUGCAAAGGAAGGAUAAGAAACAAUUGCAAUAUGAUUUGAAGGACCUAUAGGAUUCGGUAAUUGUUGUAGGAUAUCCCCUUGGAGGAGACACCAUUUCAGUAAUAAAAGGUGUAGUAUCACGUAUAGAGGUAACAUCAUAUGCUCAUGGGUCAUCCAAUUUGCAAAUUGAUGUAGCAAUAAAUCUUGGUUCGUUUGUACCUGAAAUUUAUAGAGAAGGAGAAUUUAUAUCUCUAUGGAUUUCCAAAUGAGACAUGGGAAGUUAAUCUACCUAUUGAGGAGGUGCCUCCUAAGUUUCCAGAACUAGCCUUAGGUACAAAUCACGCUAAGGAUGCGAUGCAAAAGAAGGAUUGGUUGUCACUAGUUGCCAAUGCAAUUGUUAAAAAAAAUUUAUUCUAGAGCAAGUUAUCCACUUGCUUAUGGAAUAGGCCCUGGGGAGAUAGAUGCGGCCUACAUGUGGUUUUUUUAGAGAUUCAAAUAAGUGUUUGGUGAUAAUCCUAAUAUAGCUUUUAUAUCGAACAGACAUAAGAGUAUUGCAAAAGCGAUUAUAUCACCACGGCCACUAUACAUAUCAUCUUGGUACAAAUUUACGUGCUAAGAAGUUUAAAGGUAAUGUCAAUGUAAUUAUAUCAACUUUUAAUUAUGCAGCUAGAGCAUAUAUUGUUAAGGAAUUUGAUAAGGCCAUGCAGAUUUUAGAAGGAGUUAGUAUUGAAGUUAUACAAUAUCUCAAGGAUGAAAAUCCUACUAAGUGGGCUAGAUCACAUUUUCCGGGCAAUAGAUACAACAUCAUGACCAGUAACAUCGCAGAGAGCAUGAAUUCCAUGCUAGGGAUAAACCCAUUUUGGCACUACUAGAUCAAAACCGUGAUGUCUUGCAAAAGUGGUGGUAUGAAUGUCGAAAUAAUGCAGCUGCAAUGCAAACUCCUAUUACUAAUUGGUUGGAAAAGAUCAUGCAAAAGCGCUCAAAUAAUGGCAGAGGCUUUCGUGUUAUUCCAUUAAACUUAUAUAAGUUUCAGGUUGUUGGCCUUAGGGUGUUGGUUGGAGUUGUCAACUUAGAAAGUAAGACAUGCUUAUGUAAGGAAUUCGGCAUCAAUUUCUUUCUGUCCAUGCAAUUGCAGCAUGUAAGUAUUGACAUAUUUCUCCAUAUACCCUUUGAUCGGCGCAUUACUCAGUUGAAUCUCUCCGUGACGCAUAUUUGGAGACCAUAUAUCCACUUGGAGAUAAAUGUCAGUGGCGUGCUCUAGAUGAUGUCAUAAAUCAGCUUGUACAUAUAUCCACUUGGAGAUAAAUGUUAGUGGCGUGCUCUAGAUGAUGUCAUAAAUCAGCUUGUACUUCCACCUAAGAUUGGCAAACAGUCAGGAAGACUAAGAAAGAAACGGAUUCAAUCUCAAGGAGAGGAGCACCUUCAAUAUAGAUGUGGGAGGUGUAAAUAGAUUGGUCACAACAGACUAUCUUGCUUGACCAUUGUACUUCUUGAUAGCACUACCAACCAACAACAACAUUCAACAUCUGGACCAUAAAUCUCUUUAUACGAUGUUAAGCCCCUGUAUGUGUAGUUUUGUUAUACAUUUAGUUGUAGUAUGCUUGUGUUAUGCAAUGUUGGAAGAAUGUAAUUAGUAGCCCAACUGCUUAACGUGUGAUUUAGUAAAAAAGUCCUUGGUUUCAUGUAUUGUUUUGGUAAAAUAGCAUUGUGUGAUUAGUAUGUUGUAUGUUUUUUUAUUGUUACGAAGAUGCUAUUCGAUAAUAGUGAUAAUACGCUAUUUA